CGAUGUGCAUGUGAACUUCACUAAAGAAGAAUGGAAUUUGCUGCAUCCUUCCCAGAUGAAUCUCUACAAAGAUGUUAUGUUGGAGACCUACUGGAACCUUACUUCUAUAGACUACAAAUGGGAAGACCAUCACAUUGAAGAAUCAUGUCAAUGUUCUCGAAGACAUACAAGAUUCACACUGCUCUGGUAUCAGACUACAGUGGGGCAUCAAGCCUCCACAGGACCAAGGGCCUCCUCUCCCACUGAUGCCAGAUGAAGCCAUCCUCUGCUACAUAUAGAGCUGGGGCCAUGCAUCUCUCCAUGCAUACUCUUUGGUAGGUGGAUUAGACCCUGGAUGCUCUUUGUGGUCCAGUGGGUUGAUUUGUUCUUCCUAUGGGGUUGCAAUCCCCUUCAGUUCUGUGAGUCCUUUCCUAACUCUUCUGAUGGGGUCUUGC
rnacentral:lncRNA from 1 species